AUGUAUAUGUGCAUGUAUGUGUAUAUGUAUAUGUAUAUAUGCAUGCUUUAUACACACACACACACACACACACACACACACCACACACACA
rnacentral:miRNA from 1 species